rnacentral:rRNA from 1 species
UGGGGAAUAUUGGACAAUGGGCGCAAGCCUGAUCCAGCCAUGCCGCGUGAGCGAUGAAGGCCCUAGGGUUGUAAAGCUCUUUCACCGGUGAAGAUAAUGACGGUAACCGGAGAAGAAGCCCCGGCUAACUUCGUGCCAGCAGCCGCGGUAAUACGAAGGGGGCUAGCGUUGUUCGGAUUUACUGGGCGUAAAGCGCACGUAGGCGGACUUUUAAGUCAGGGGUGAAAUCCCGGGGCUCAACCCCGGAACUGCCUUUGAUACUGGAAGUCUUGAGUAUGGUAGAGGUGAGUGGAAGUCCGGGUGUAGAGGUGAAAUUCGUAGAUAUUCGGAGGAACACCAGUGGCGAAGGCGGCUCACUGGACCAUUACUGACGCUGAGGUGCGAAAGCGUGGGGAGCAAACAGG